rnacentral:lncRNA from 1 species
GAACGCUACAGGGUAUGGUUUUUUGGACUUUGAUUCAACUGCUUUGAACCUUGACUCCUUGAGGGCCAAAGUUAUUUAGCUGACUUUUUUUUGUUGACCUAACCUACCUACCUGCAGACCGUUGUUUACGUCGGUGGCGUACCGGCGUUAGGUAGGUUUUAAAAUUACGAGCAGAUGAAAACACGUUCUUUUAAUUUCAAGAGGUCCGACAAACAUUGUUUGGCUGGGUCUUUCUUCUUCUUGAGCGAGUAAUGAAGAUAUAAAUAGCCUAUAUAUAGCUAGGUUCAUGCAAGCAGGCAUAUCCACACUUGCAGAUUCAGCGCGUAUAUAUAUACACACACACACACGGUGCAUGCACAUUUGGGAGAUCACAAUGCAUGCAUGGUCGUACAAAGAAAUGAACAUCACAAUGCCCAUGUGUGUAGCACUGCCAGCGAACAGAUCUGCUAGAUUGUAAUCUGAACAAGAUCAAUUCCAGAUGAUGUGUUGUACUACGACAAAUUAACCACACACAAUCCACUCAGAACUCGGCAAAACCAAAUCGAGUUUGUAUGUUGUCCAAGGGAUCGGAUGAGAAUCGAAUGGGGACGGGUUUGAUUCGGCGUCAGCUUGGGUUGCAGCUCUGUUGUAGACGAACGGAUCAAUCCCACGAGUGUAGGCGCAGCCGCACGCGCAGGAACCCUCCGAGGACUCGCGAGCUCCGACCCCGGCACGCAGGGAGAGGACCGUCGUCGUCGUUGAGAAAACUCCUCACGAGCUCGGUGCGCGCGGCCGCUUCCAGUCGGAGCUGGCCCGGCCGGCGGGGAUAUGCAUGAUUCUGUCGAUCGGGUACGGUGGUGUCGGCCGUGCCGCCCCAGGCCGAUCGACGCGUCGCCGUGGGUUGAUUUGGUGGCUUUUAUUCCGUGACGGCGUGAUGCUCUUUAUACCGCCGCGGGGAUGAGCUUGUCACCGAUGCUGGGAAAGCUAGGUUUCCCCUCCGGCCGGCUUCCGGGAAGGCGAGGCACAGACAGACACAGACACGUAUGCCGGCCGGCCGUUGGGGUAGCGUACUACGGCCCAUCGUAAAUCAAUCGUGUGUGCAUGCAGACGGCCACGUUGCUGCUGCAUGUGCAUACGUCACGCGCUGCUCAGCUUCUUGGGCCUUGUUAAGUUCAAAUUUUUUUUAUAUAUUUUCCUUCAUAUUAAAUCUUAUGAUACAUUUAAAAUAGAGGGCAACAAAUCAAACCAAUUACAGUACAAAAGGGUGCUCCAUGCCUCUACCGUCAUUCAAUGCAGCCUCUACCGUCUCGGGUGCUUCUGAUAGUGAUUGUAAAUGCACGAUGUAUUCCUCAAUAGCAACAGUUGUAUACAUAUAGACCACAUGGGGAGCCUGGUACGGCAGGUCCAUGGGCCGUGACACGUUUACAAUCUAACACCCCCGCAGUCGGAACUGGGAGCACUGCGAACAUUAAGACUGGAUCUAAACUCAACAAAGACGGACGUCGGGAGCCCUUUGAUGAAGAUGUCGGCAUACUGUGAAGUAGUAGGGACAUGCAAUACUCGAACUUCUCCAAGGGCCACACGGUCACGAACGAAGUGUAAGUCAAUCUCCACAUGCUUGGUUCGCUGGUGCUGAACGGGGUUGGUAGACAAAUAAACGGCACUGACAUUGUCGCAAUACACAACUGUAGCUCGACGAAGAGGACAAUGGAGUUCAAGCAGAAGCUGGCGUAGCCAACACGCCUCCGCAACCCCAUUGGCGACAGCGCGAUACUCGGGCUCAGCACUGGAUCUAGACACUGUUCCUUGACGCUUGGAGGACCAUGAGACCAAAUUAUCACCCAGGAAGACUCCAUAACCAGAAGUAGAACGGCGAGUCUCAGGGCAACCGGCCCAAUCAGCAUCAGAGUACACGGUAAGAUCAGCAGGCGAGGUACGUCGGAGGUGAAAUCCAAGAUCCAAAGUACCCUGUAUAUAGCGCAGGAUGCGCUUCAUGGCGGCAAGAUGAGGCUCUCUCGGAUCAUGCAUAUAUAAACAAAUUUGCUGAACUACAUAGGCAAUAUCAGGACGGGUGAAAGUAAGAUACUGAAGGGCGCCGGCGAUGCUGCGGUAAUGUGAAGGAUCAGUCACAGGAGCACCAUCAGCAGGCAGCUUGGCAUGAGUAUCAACAGGUGUGCUGCAAGGCUUGCAGUCACGCAUACCAGCACGGUCCAGAAUAUCCAGCAUGUAUUGUUUCUGAGAGAGGAACAACUCAUCCGAGCGGCGAUCAACAGAGACACCCAGAAAAUGGUGAAGAGCACCCAUAUCAGUCAUAGAAAAUUCCUGUUGCAGAGCUGCGAUGAUGCGCUGAAGGAAACUCUGUGACGAGGCAGUGAGAACAAUAUUAUCCACAUAGAGAAGCAAGAACGCCGUGUCGGCACCCCGGCGAUAGAUGAACAGGGAGGUAUCUGCUUUGGCCUCAACAAACCCAAGGGAGGUGAUGUGUCGGGCGAAGCGACUAUGCCAUGCUCGAGGGGCCUGCUUCAAUCCAUAUAAGGACUUAUUCAAUCUGCACACAAAAUCAGGCUUGGAGGAAUCAACAAACCCAGUUGGCUGCUGGCAGUACACAGUUUCUGUCAAAAUCCCGUGAAGAAAAGCAUUCUUGACGUCCAGCUGGUGAAUGGGCCAAGAACGUGACAGAGCAAGUGUGAGCACAACACGGACAGUGGCCGGCUUAACGACCGGGCUGAAAGUUUCCUCGUAGUCAAUACCAGGCCGCUGAGUGAAGCCCCGGAGAACCCACCUGGCCUUGUAACGAUCAAAAGAACCAUCAGCCAAAAAUUUGUGACGAAAAACCCAUUUACCGGUGACAAUGUUCACUCCAGAGGGUCGAGGCACCAAGGUCCAUGUGUCAUUGGCCAGGAGGGCGUCGAAGGGCAGAGUAGAAGUCGUGCGACCCCCCCCUACUGGCAACAACCUGUGACAUGGAGUCAGCAGGGGCAGCAGAGGGUUCCGCGGUCGGUGCCAUGCGUGCCCCUCCACUGGCAGCAGCCUGCGACGCAGGGGCAGCAGAGGGGUCCGAGGGUCCAGCCGUCGUUUGCGAGGGUGCUGGCGCCUGAGCAGCAGCCGCACCAGCGCCAGGUGAGUCCUGGACGUGGGGCGGUGUGACCGCGGCGGACGAAGCGCCGCCAGCGGGUGCCUGCGAGCCGCCCGGGCUGGAGUCAAGCUCGACAGCGGGCAGCGCACCGGCUGGUGAUCCAUCGGGGGUCGGCGCGUGCGGCGGUGUACCUGCAACCACAGAACUAGGCCCGAUGGGCAUAGUCGAAAAGUCAUCCUCGCUCAAGAAGUCAAGAGUGGCUGGAUCCGAAGGAGAGGUGGACAUGGCUGAGAAAGGGAACACGGACUCGUCAAACACUACAUGUCGAGAGAUGAUAAUUCGGUUAGAGUGUAGGUCGAGGCAGCGAUAACCCUUGUGAUCGGAUGAGUAGCCCAAAAAGACGCAAAGUGAUGAGCGAGGAGCCAAUUUGUGUGGUGCGGUGGAAGAUAAAUUGGGAUAGCAAGCACACCCAAAAACACGAAGAUGUGAAUAUGUGGGAUGCGUGCCAUAGAGAGCAUAGAACGGGGUUAGGCCAUCCAGAGUCUUGGUGGGGUGACGAUUGAGAAGGUAUGUGGCGGUGUGGAGGGAGUCCGCCCAGUAGACUGGUGGGAGGCUAGCCUGGAACAAAAGCGAGCGCACGAUAUUGUUUAUGGUGCGAAGGGCGCGCUCGGCUUUACCGUUCUGUUGCGAAGUGUAGGGGCAGGACAUACGGAACAGGACGCCGUGGGAGAGGAAGAACGUGCGGGCCGAAGAGUUGUCGAACUCACGGCCAUUGUCGCACUGGACGGCCUUCACGACGGUGUCAAACUGUGUACGAACAUAGGUAAAUAAAUUAGAGAUGGUGGCAAAUGUGUCGGAUUUGAGGCGAAGCGGAAAUGUCCAAGCAUAAUGUGAAAAAUCAUCAAUAAUUACGAGAUAAUAUUUGUAACCUGACACGCUAGCAAUAGGAGAGGUCCAAAGGUCACAAUGUAUUAAAUCGAAUUUAUGAGUAGCACGAGAGCUAGAUAAGCUGAAAGGGAGGCGAACAUGGCGCCCUAACUGACAAGCAUGACAUAAAUGAUCAUGUUUGGGUUUAUUACAUGAAAUAGCCUGAGUGCUAAUAAGUUUGGACAAAGCAUCAGAACCAAGGUGUCCGAGACGACGAUGCCACAAGGUGGAUGUAGAGGCGGCUGCGAGAGCUGGUGUGCUGCUGCUGGUAGACGGGAAGAAUGGAUAGAGAUCUCCCGUGCUAUCGCACCUGGCGAUCACGCUCCGUGUCUGUAGAUCCUUCACAGAGAGGCCAAAAGGGUCAAACUCAAUAGAGCAAUUGUUAUCAAUUGUGAACCGACGAACGGAUAUCAAAUUCUUAAUAAUGCUAAGAGACACUAAGACAUUAUUGAGAACAAGAGGACGUUUUGGUGUAGGAAAAGAGUAUGAGCCAGUGGAAGUGAUGGGCAAAAGAGCACCAUUACCGACAAUAAUAGAUGAAGGAUCGGACAAGGAGGGUGAGCGAGGAGACGAGAGAAUACCAGUGUGGGCGGUCAUGUGAGAACCAGCCCCAGAAUCAGCAUACCACUCGGUAGGGGUUGACGGCGGCGUCAGGGUCAUCGUGUUGAAGUUGUUGAUGAGUGACGUCUGGUCGUAGGAACCGCCCGCCAUGGGGUUCCAUGCCGCGUACGGCGGCGUCGCAGCGCCGGACGAAGAAGAAGCCGACGAGCCAGCCACCGGGCCAUAGCCGAAGCCUGGGGGCGGUGGGGGCUGGUAGUACCCGCCGUGGUACGGUGCCAUGUGGAGGGCAGGCUGGGGCUGCUCGAAGGGCAUGUAGGGGCGCUGCAGCUGCUGUCCAGGGAGGCCGCCGAACCCGUGCGGCCAGAGCUGGAGAGUGCCGGACCAGGGGUUAUUCCCUGGCCGAGCAGGUGGAUGUCCAGCGCCCGACUGUCCAGCGCCCUGAGCGCCGCCUAUCUUGCCCUGGUUGGAGCCGCCGUUGCCGCCGCGGCCACGGCGGCGACGGUUGUUGUUGGAGCUGCCCGAGCCACCGCCCUGCACGUUGUUGGUGCAGCCGGUGCGCUGCGGCUGUUUGGCCGCGAGCAGUGCCUGCGUUUCCGACGGUGGUGCGGACGGCGCGUCGUCGAGGGAGUCGUUGACGUCGAUCUCUUCGAGGAGCAGCAAGGUGCGCGCCUCGGCGAACGUGGGGAAGGGUGAGCGCAUCUUCAGAUUGGACACCAUGUGCUUGUACUUCCCAUUGACGCCGCGCAGCAAGGUGAGGACAAGCUGCCGGUCGCCGAUCGGAUCACCGAACUCCUUGAGAGAGGCCGCCAUUGUUUCCAAACGGCGGCAGUAAUCCGUGACGGAGAGAUCGCCCUGCCGGAAGGAGCGAAAUUCGGCCUCCAGCAGCAGCGCACGCGCCUCGCGUUGGCCGAGGAACUCAUCUUCAAGGUACAGCCAGGCAGAUCGGGCCGUGGGGUCGCGGAUCAGCAGCGAUUGUUGGAGAUCGGUGGAGAUGGUGCAGAUGAUCCACGUGAGGACGCAGCUGUCCAUGGUUGCCCACGCGGUGCGGUCGGGGUAGGCGACGUCGGAGAGGGCAUGGUUCUUCAAGUUGUACUUCCCGAGUACGAUCAAGAAGAGGGGCCGCCACCGGCCGUAGUUGUUCGACGCCUUGUCCAGCACCAAGGGGAUCGCGCUCCUGAUGUUGUGGAGGGCGAUCGCCUGGGCAUGGAGGGAUGCGUUGGCGGCCUCCUGGGCGGUGAGCACCUUGUCGAGGGCCUCCGCUUCCUCGCGCUGUUUCUGCGCGGCAGCAGCGGCGGCGGCAGCAUUGGGAUCGGCCAUUAGGGUUUCCUCCUGGCGAGUGAUCGGCGGCAGGAGGGGUGGGAGAUGGCCGGGCCUGGCGAGAAGGACUCGGCGGCAGGCGGGUAGGGUGGCCGGCGAGGGACUCAGCGGCGGCCGUGGGUGGAACCGGCGAGCAGGAGCUCUGGCGGCGGCUAGGGUUGGGCGGAAGCGGGUCCGUGGAAGGACCGGCGUGAUACCAUGAUAGUGAUUGUAAAUGCACGAUGUAUUCCUCAAUAGCAACAGUUGUAUACAUAUAGACCACAUGGGGAGCCUGGUACGGCAGGUCCAUGGGCCGUGACACGUUUACAAUCUAACAGCUUCUUGCCCCCUUCCUUGCAUAUUAUCAUUGGAAUGAGGUUUUGUUUAGUUCAUCCUAAAAUUCAAAAACAUUUCAAGAUUUUUUAUCAUAUCGAAUUUUAUAACACAUACAUGAAACACUAAAUAUAGAUAAAAAAUAAUUAAUUGCGAGACGAAUAAUUUACGAGACGAAUUUUUUAAACCUAAUUAGUUCAUGAAUGACCAAUAAUUAUCAAAUUUAAACAAAAGUAAUAUAUAGUGUCAGAAUCCAAAAAAAUUUUAGAUCUAAACAAGGCCUAAACUACGCGAAGUUUUGGUCUUCGGUUGGUCUCAUGUUUAGAAAUUAUAAACACCUACAGCUUAUUUGGUCUUUUUUUUUUUUUCCUUUCUUCCAGUAAGAUUCUUUUCUAUUUCUCCUGAGGAUCUCCUAUCUAGCUAGAGCUAGGAGCCCACGGUUAAAAGGGUUUCGAAAUAAAAUUUCGAGUCGUCUGGCCAAUUCCACUAUAAACAAACAAAAAAGGCAAUAGCUGUGAAAGAAUCAGACGUCAAUGGAACCUUUUAUAAUUCUAUUAAAUAACUUAUUUAAAUUACUACUGAAUUUUCUUCUGAGUCGAAGUAGCAUCAGACGCCAAAUAAGCUAGCGACGGUUAUUGCGUAUGUGUUAUUGCUUUGUCAAGCAGAAGAAGGCGUGAACCUCCAGUCUCCAGCUAGCGACGGUUCCAAACUCUCCGUGCUUAAAACAAGUCAGCCAACAUUAUUUCUGUCACGGCUUGAAGCCAUGGAUGCAUCAUGGCGAUCUUGUUCACUUGAGCUUAUUAUCUAAAUCUGUCAGUCAUUCAGCAGUGUUUUUUCUCUCAUAACAAAUCAGUUAAUUAACACUACUUAUUAUCAUGGCUUAUCAGCGCCAAACGAAUAAGACGGCGAAGCCCGCGGCAGAAGCGCCCGUUAGCAUCGUCGGCCGGCUAGCCAUCAGCUGCAUGAGGUGCAGGAUAGAUGGCUAGCUUUGAGCAUGGCCUCCUCCACAUGCAUCUACUAAAAGUUCAGCCCUGCUUUCGCUCGCGUGUUUUGUAAAAUCAGGAGGUGGUGGGCGUGGCUAUUUAUAAUGAGGGAGAUUUGGCAAGUGUUAGAAAGGAGGACAAACAGCAAGCGCGUUCCAACUAUGAAAGCUUCCGGGAAGCUACGCUAGCCAUGAUCGAACCACGACGACUACGUCUUCCUAUUCACUUGACGUUGAAUAAGUCAUAGCUAAAAAUACGGUUUAAUUUUAAUGCCAUCCCGAUCGACAAUCGUGACUGGAUGCCUCGGCAUUGACAUAAACCGUGUGAGGACAUCAUUAUCUGCUUUGUUAAUUAAUUACGUUCGGGUAGGGGUACCGAGUACCUCUCCUCGCACUGGCAGUCAUCAGUGCGUUGAUAUGUAGGAAGCUUCGGGACGAGUCGUCUAGCUAACUACAUCUCACAUAAUGCCGCAUCUUCUACUAUACUCCAUACAAAACUCGUACUGAAAUACAUCUAUGGUUAGUUCACCCUAAAAACUAACAAUUUUUUAAUCAUCACAUUGAAUCUUGUGGUACAUGCAUAGAACAUUAAAUAUAGAUGAAAUCAAAAACUAAUUACAGUUUGUCUAUAAAUCGUGAGACGAAUCUUUUAAACCUAGUUACUAUAUGAUUGAACAAUAUUUAUCAAAUAAAAACGAAAGUGCUACAGUUUUCAAAUAUAAAAUCUUUUUAAAUCUAAACAAAGUCUAUAUAUCUCUUCGUAUCCGCUGGCCGUGUGGAGUAAGCUAAAGCCACACGACGGCGACCUGCAAGAGUCCAGACGGCGACCUGCAAGAGUGACGUUAUGAAUACGACGACGGAGAAAAGUAAAAAGCUAUCCUUCUCAUCGUGAGUUAUCACGAAGGAUUAUUUGUCAGUUUGUAUUUUGGCCUUGUUUAGUCUGAUAGGGCACGGGCCCGUAUGACCCGCUUGGCCAUCGGUCAUGCCUCCACAGGUCAUCGUGUCUGCCUAACGGUCCAAACAUUCUUCGAGACGAUCUAGGGUCCGCUAUAUGAAAAACACCAAAUUUAAUAUAAAAUUCAACAAAACUUAAGUAAAUCACAUUCAAAUCAUAAACAUUGAUACUUCACAAUUUACAUAACACAAUAUACUCACAGAUCAUAUUUCACAUGCUAAAAGUCACAAGUUUCACAAGUCACAGAACUUGAUACUUCAACUCUUCAAGCUUCACAAGAUCUCUGAUACCGGGCCGACAUCGUGUCUGCUGUUAAAAGCAGGCCGGACCAGGCCGCCCGGCAGGCCGAGGGGUCGGCCUAAGCACGACCCGCUACGUACUUUGGGCCGGCACGGGCAUGGUUGGGAUCGGACCGUGCCGUGCUCGGACCAGGCCAAAUCACCGUGUUUUGGGCCGUGCCUUUAGCCCGCGAGCUGCAUGCUCAACUUUACUCCAGAGUCGUAUAUUAUCUUCGUCCUUACUACCUCUGUCUUUAAAUAAUUGUCGCUUUUGAUUUUUCUUGCCAUAAAUUUGACUAUAGAAAAUACAUAUAAUAUUUAUACAACCAAAUAAAUUUAAAUAAAAAAAUAGAUUCAAGGACCUAAAUAAUAAUAAUAAUAAUAAUUUUGUAUCAUAAAUAUUAAAAUUUUUAUAUAUAUUUAGUUAAAGUUAUUUAUCAAAAAACAAAGACAAUAAUUAUUUAAAGACGGAGAGAAUAGAUCACUCACGACCUUAUGUCCAUAACUACCAGUAGAGGUGAUGGCGAUUCACGGCGGAGUUAAGAAAUAGCGAGUGCCUUAACUUCUCUUUUUUUUUUCGGGUCCUCCGUUGCUGGAUCUAUUAACUCUCUGUUUUCUUUCACUGCAAAAGUGCAGAGAUGAGAAGCUAAAAAAAAGUGCAGAGAUGUAGAGUGGUAGUAUUUGAUCGGUUAUCGGUAUGUGAUGGUUGACACACUCUCCCUACUUGUAUGAUUUUUGGAUCUAUUUUCUCCUUAACAAAUAUAAUCGAUUCUUGUCUUUUUCUUUUAUUCAAUUGAGUUUUAUUGUCCUGUUGAGAAAAAAAAUCUCAAGUUAAGAUUUUCUCAUUAAUUCCAAUUUAAUUUGUGCAAAACCUUCAGAUUAAAGUAUAAAACUUAAUUCUUCACGGGCUAAGUGGGCUUUCCAACGGGCCAUUAGUUCUAACCUAAAUCAUAACUUUUCUGAUUCCGAAGGGGGGAACUUAGGGAAGGAGCACAAUGAAUCUUCUACUAAUGAGAUUGGAUCUUGAUCGGUGAACUCGGCCAAGAGCCGAAUCAUGGUAUUGAUCAUUGAAAGCCGCUUUUCGCUCAACGGUGAAGAAGUCAGGUCGGAGUUGAUGGUUCAUUGACAUAGGCUCUCUGAGAGUAGUGAUGAACUUGAGGUGACAAUGUGAGAUUUCCUCUAUAAGCUAGAUAGGUUCCCGAUCAUAGAGGUGAAGUUUGCCAAAUCAAUCUUGAUGAAGGCUAGGCUUCCAAAUCAGAAAACCUGGUUGGCGGUGAAGUGGGGGCACAAUGUUUCUCAAUUGGUCGGUAAUAGCAAUGUGCCGGGCCAAUCUAGGACCCAAAAUUACCUUACGUGUAGUAUGGGUAUGGCCAUGGACGGACCUACAGUGUCCGGGUAUUCCCUUGCAUACCCUACAUUUUUGGACAAAAAAUUAAUAGGUAUUUGAGAUAUAUACAUGUAUAAUAUACAUAAGUGUUAAAACUACGUUUCUCUGUGUUUCUAGGUCAUUUUAUUCAACAAUUCACCUCUAACUCAAAAGCAGCCUCAUAAGCCACGCAAAUCCAGACGGUCCAUGACUCAUCUAACCUUCCCACUCACUUUCCCACUCCCCAAAAUCCCAAAACCAUCAGGCCUAGUUCGUAGGGGUAGGGCAGCCGCGCACUCACGCGCAGGUAGGCGCUUCCGCGACUCUCGACCGCUCGCCGCCGCUUUCACCGCGCGCCACCGCACGCGAUUCGCCACUGACCCGCAGGCAGGCGCUGCGGCCUGUGUGGACGCUCGUGUUGCCGCUUCGGCGGCUCCACUCCCCGGCAUCGGGCGUCCCCGCGCCGCCGCGCGGCCAGUCGGCCAUGACCUCCCCUUUGCUUGGACUCAGAGGUAAUAAAACUCAAAUCCCUUUCCUUUUCCCUUUGUUGGUUCUAUUAAAUGUCAUUUUCAAUUGCAAAAAAAAUAUAGAUAUGCAAUGCAUUUGAACUACAUGUAUCUUUUAUCUAAGUAGAUCUAAAUAUUUUGUGUCGUUCAUUAAAAAAAAUUUACCAUGGUGUUGGGUACCAUAAUAAGGGAUACCCAAAUCAGAGCAAUAAAAAGCGCAAAAAAGCAUACUAACCACAAUCAUCAGGGUACGGGCCCCAGUUCAUUCGACUCGCCCGACCCCUCAGGGCCUCGGACGCGAGUCCCGACUCGCCCGACCCCUCAGGGCCUCGGACGCAAGUUCCGACUCGCCCGACCCCUCAGGGCCUCGGACGCGAGUCUCGACUCGCCCGACCCCUCAGGGCCUCAAACGCAAGUUCCGACUCGCCCGACCCCUCAGGGCCUCGGACGCGAGUCCCGACUCGCCCGACCCCUCAGGGCCUCGAACGCAAGUUCCGACUCGCCCGACCCCGUCCAGGCUCGGGCACCGGACCCCACUCCACCUGGGCAGCAAGACUUCCACCGCACGGCGCCCGUACCCAUGACAUGACGGACGCGAUGGCUUCCAUACCACAGCAGGGCAAGGCGACAACUAUUCCAACCACCCUGGGUACUGCAGCAUCACCUUUUUCACUGUGUGCCCUUACCUCUUUCACUGUGGCGUACCGCCUCACAGUGGAAAGGGAAUGGGGGAGGUUAAUCAGCACCACUAUUUGACACCUCUUCCCACUAUUGACGUGAUACGCAGCAGCGCCGGCGACCCGACCCCCAUGACUCCUACAAGGCUCGGUAAACCGCAACAGGAGCGACCAUCCCUCCAGGACAAGACGAACAGGCUUCAACAGGGUCGGAGCUGUAACUCUCCCACUGAGGGAAAUCUACCCAUGUAAAUCCCAGUCUCCCCUUGAGGCUAUAAAAGGGGAGCCAAGGCUCAAAAGAACGAACACACUCACACGCACAACACUCUUUCACAGAGCAGCAAUCCGCACUCUGUCCACCACCAAGCCGAGACCUGGGACUUAGCCCUCUCUCGCAACCUGCUUGUACCCCCUACUACAAGCACCUUUGGGUGCAAGGUUAUACAGGACCCCCGAUCGCACUGGACGUAGGGCAUUCUUGGCCCGAACCAGUAUAAACCCUCUGUGUCUCACUUGCAUCACCAUCCAAGCUUGGUCAGUCACGCAGACUUAUACUUGUUAGUGCUUAGACCACGAAUCUAGACGCCGACAGUUGGCGCGCCAGGUAGGGGCCUUCUGCGUGACGCUCGCCAGUCCGUACUGGGAAGUCUUGGAUGGCAGACGGAUUUCACCCGCUCCGUCGCGGCACCAUCAUGACGUUUGGGAGUUUGGAGUUCAUGUCCCUCGGUUCCGGCUACGACAUGGUCCUCCUCCCGCCACGUGGUGACGUCGAGCCUAGUCCCGAGCCGAUCCCACCACAGUCAGUGCGUGGGAGCCGUUUGGGACACCGUGCGGGGGGCUCACGGAGGGGGCGUCAGAGAUCUAGGAUCUCCGACCCUACCACUGAGGCUAGGACCCAUCUGGCCCUCCCCCCGCAUAUUCCUCACCAGAUCGCCCGUUCCUCCGGCCCGACAGGCGCUAGAGGAAGGGCUCGCGGGGCAUCAAGCUCCGGUCCCAGGACCAACAGAGGAUCAUCGCGGCCUCCCGUUCCGCCCCGGUCAAAGGGGAAGGCACGGCCCGCGCCCGUCCCCCGCAAGGGGGACAAAGGGACCUCAACAUCUCGUCCUCCUCCACCUCUGGAUGAAGGAGAAAUAGCGGCACCUCCCGAAUUACCUUUCGGCCUCAGGAACGCCGCCGCCACCUACGCCUCUUCCGUGAGCACUUCGCUAAGUGCAUACGCGGACCUUCAAGGACACCACCUAAGGUCUACCCUGGACCUCAUCUCCACACCACCCGUUUCGUCAUACCCAGAGGACCCUACCUCAGGCGACGACGAGUGGGCUGGCGCUGACCUUUCCGGGUGCGGCGACCCAGAGACCUUCAUCCGCUUCUUGGAAGCCAGCAACUACUGUCUCGGCUACUCCAACUCCGACGACGAAAGCCACGACCCGUCGCGAGAAUGUUUUAACCUAGAAGUCGGAGGCACGCCGCAUAACGCCCAGGGGGGCGCAGGACCCUCUAGGCAGGAGAAUGUGACGCCACCUCCCAACCCGACUCCCGGAACCGAUCUCGGAGCCCGUGGGGUAGCGUCGGCCCCCGUUGGAGGGCACCGCCCUGACCUCGUGCAGCUCGAUGAGCUAGAGGCCAGGCUCGAAGAAGAACGCACACGCCUCCGCCAACUCCGCGAGGCCUUGGUCCGAGACCCGGCUGGCCGCGGAGAUGGGGGUGAAGCUAGACGUCGCGCACGUGACGUCAAUCGUCGCAUUGUCGAGGGCCAAGGGGGUGACGCCCCAGUCUUCAGCACGGCCAGCCAGAACGUGAUGGCCGCCGCGCUCCUCCUCAGGGCGAUGCCCGAGCCAUCGACCCCUGAGGGAAGAAGAGUGCGCCAGGGGCUACGUGGCCUCCUGGAGCAGGCUGUGGUGCAGAACGCGGAAAGUUCUGCGUCACAAUCCCACGGCACGAGACGCUAGGGGGACCGACCCCCUCCGAACAAGGCACCAACCGUACAGGGUCCGCCGCCCCCUAAUCCGCAAGGGGGCAACAGGGCCCCGUCAGUUCACGAACGCGUCGGAGCUGACGCGGACGUGCGGGCCACCCUCGAGGCCAGACGACGUGACAGGGACGAGGCCGAGUCGAGGCGCUACCGACCGCGCCGAGGCGGAAGGUACGACCCCGAUCACGACCGCAGCACGUCACCAGAGCCCCUGGGUCCCCGCGUCUUCAGCGAGGCCAUACGCAGGGCCAAGUUCCCGGCGCGAUUCCGACAGCCCGCCAACCUCACCAAGUACUCAGGGGAAACGAACCCUGAGCUCUGGCUGGCGGAUUACCACCUAGCAUGCCAGCUGGGCGGCGCGGAUGACGACCUGCUCAUCAUCCGCAACCUCCCACUCCACCUGGCCGAUACGGUCAGGGCAUGGCUCGAGCACCUCCCUGAGCGCAUGAUCCACGACUGGGCUGACCUGGUCAGGAUCUUUGUCGGGAACUUCCAGGGCACAUACGUGCACCCUGGGAACUCCUGGGACCUCAGGAGCUGCCGGCAGAAGCCUGAUGAGUCCCUCCGAGACUUCAUCAGGCGAUUCUCCAAACAGUGCACCGAGCUCCCCAACAUCACGGAUUCCGACGUGAUCGGAGCCUUCAUUUCCGGCACCACCUGCAAGGAGUUGGUACACGAGCUCGGACGCAAGACCCCCACGAGCACUAGCCAGCUGCUCGACAUCGCCACCAACUUUGCCUCAGGCGAAGAGGCAGUCGGCGCCAUUUUCUCCGACGACGCAGCUAAAGGAAAGCAGAAGGCCGAGGCCACCGAAGCCUCAGGAUCACGCGACCCCAAGAAGAAGAAGAAGGGUCGCAAGGGGAAGCAGGGUCAGUCGGACGACAACCUAGUCGCCGCGGCUGAUCGCAAGAACCCCAAAAGGGCUCCUGCUGGCCCCGGUCACUUCGACGAAAUGUUGAAAAAGCCGUGCCCCUAUCACAGGGGGCCAACCAAGCACACCCUUGAGGAGUGCACAGUCCUCCGUCGGUACUAUACCGACAUCAUCACCAAGGAGAGUGCCGAAGAGCCUCCCAAGGACGACGACCCUGAGGGGGAGUCUUUCCCCAAGAUCAAGAACUGCCUUCUAAUCUUUGGGGGACGUGCGGCUCGCCUCACUGCGAGUCAGAGGAAGCGCGAACUCCGAGAAGUUUGCGCAGUCAGCGCAGCUGCGCCCUCGUAUCUUAAAUGGUCCGAGAGCGCAAUCACGUUCGAUCGACAGGAUCACCCGGAUCGGAUUCCCAAUCCCGGGAGCUAUCCGUUGAUCGUCGACCCCAUCAUCGCCGAGACCCGUCUCACUAAGGUGCUGAUGGAUGGAGGCAGCGGUCUCAACAUACUCUACGCCGAGACUCUGGCCCUCAUGGGGAUCAGCAAGUCCCGGCUGAGGAACGACACAGCGCCAUUCCAUGGAGUAGUGCCUGGACAUCGUGCCCACCCCCUCGGACAAAUCGAUCUGCCCAUCUGCUUCGGGACCCCCGACAACUUCAGACGGGAGGUCCUCACUUUCGACGUGGUCGGGUUCCCAGGGACCUACCACGCGAUCCUCGGACGACCAUGCUACGCCAAGUUCAUGGCCGUCCCCAACUACACCUACCUCAAGCUCAAGAUGCCAGGGCCAAAGGGCAUCAUCACCAUCAGCACGACCAGUCAGCACGCCUACCAGUGCGACGUCGAGUGCAUUGAGCAGGCCGAGGCUCUGGCUGAGUCUCUGGCCAUCCUCACCGGCCUCGGCGACUGUGACCAGGACGUCCCCGACCCCAAGCGUCAUGCCGGGAGCUUCGAGCCGGCAGAGGAGACCAAGCUAGUUUUCCUCGACCCCGGGACCUCUGAAGGCAAGGCGUUGAGAAUUAGCUCCAGCCUCGACCCCAAAUAGGAAGUGGUGCUCGUCGACUUUCUCCGCGCAAACGCCGAUAUAUUUGCGUGGAGUCCCUCGGACAUGCCUGGAAUACCGAGGGAAGUCGCCGAGCACUCCUUGGACAUCCGAGCCGGCUCCAAACCCGUGAAACAAUGCCUGCGCCGAUUCGACGAGGAGAAGCGUCGGGCCAUCGGGGAGAAGAUCCACAAGCUGCUGACGGCCGGAUUCAUCAAGGAGGUAUUCCAUCCCGAGUGGUUAGCCAACCCCGUGCUAGUUAAAAAGAAGAAUGGGAAGUGGAGGAUGUGUGUAGAUUAUACUAGUUUAAAUAAAGCAUGUCCAAAGAAUCCCUUUCCAUUACCUCGUAUUGAUCAGAUAGUUGACUCUACCACGGGAUGUGAAAUUUUGUCUUUUCUUGAUGCUUAUUCCGGCUACCACCAAAUCAAGAUGAAAGAGUCCGACCAGCUCGCGACUUCAUUCAUCACCCCUUUCGGAAUGUAUUGCUACGUAACCAUGCCUUUUGGCCUCAAGAACGCGGGGGCUACAUAUCAACGAUGUAUGCUCCAGGUUUUUGGGAACCUGAUAGGCAAAACGGUAGAGGCUUAUGUAGACGACAUUGUUGUCAAGUCCAGGAAAGCGAGCGGUCUGGUUGCCGACCUGGAAGAAACAUUCCGAUGCCUUAGGGCGAAAGGGAUCAGACUCAACCCCGAAAAGUGCGUUUUCGGGGUCCCCCGAGGCAUGCUCCUUGGGUUUAUUGUGUCUGAGCGGGGGAUCGAGGCCAACCCAGAAAAGGUCUCGGCCAUCGCAAAUAUGGGCCCGAUUCGUAACCUAAAGGGAGUACAAAGGGUGAUGGGAUGUCUAGCCACCCUAAGCCGUUUCAUUUCUCGCCUCGGGGAAAAAGGACUGCCUCUGUAUAGGUUACUUAGGAAAUCUGAGCACUUUUCCUGGACCCCCGAGGCCCAGGAAGCCCUUGACAAGCUCAAGGCUCUGCUCACCAACCCUCCCAUCCUGGUGCCCCCCGCCGAGGGGGAACCACUACUUCUCUACGUCGCAGCCACUGAUCAGGUGGCCAGCGCAGCUAUCGUGGUCGAGAGGAAGGAAGAAGGGCACGCCCUGCCGGUCCAAAGGCCGGUAUACUUAGGAAAUCUGUAUAGGUUACUUAGGAAAUCUGAGCACUUUUCCUGGACCCCCGAGGCCCAGGAAGCCCUUGACAAGCUCAAGGCUCUGCUCACCAACCCUCCCAUCCUGGUGCCCCCCGCCGAGGGGGAACCACUACUUCUCUACGUCGCAGCUACUGAUCAGGUGGCCAGCGCAGCUAUCGUGGUCGAGAGGAAGGAAGAAGGGCACGCCCUGCCGGUCCAAAGGCCGGUAUACUUCAUUAGUGAAGUACUCUCCGACACAAAGACUCGAUACCCCCAGAUCCAAAAAUUACUCUACGCUGUAGUGUUGGCCCGGCGCAAGCUCAGACAUUACUUUGAAUCUCACCCGGUCUCAGUGGUCUCAUCUUUCCCUUUGGGAGAAGUGAUUCAGAACCGAGAGGCCAACGGAAGGAUUGCCAAAUGGGCCAUAGAGAUCAUGGGCGAUGGGAUCACCUAUGAGCCUCGCAGAGCCAUAAAGACCCAGGUCCUGGCACACUUUGUGGCGGAAUGGACUGUGACUCAGUUCCCGCCACCUCAAAUCCCGCACGAGUGCUGGACCAUGUACUUCGACGGGUCUUUGAUGAAAACCGGGGCCGGCGCGGGCCUAAUCUUCAUCUCACCCCUCGGGGUAAGGAUGCGAUACGCAAUCCGGCUCCAUUUCCCUGCUUCAAACAACGCAGCAGAGUACGAGGCCCUUGUUAACGGUCUCCACAUCGCGAUCGAGCUUGGGAUCAAACGGCUCGACAUCCGAGGCGAUUCUAGACUCAUCAUCGAUCAAGUCAUGAAAGAGUCUAGCUGCCAUGACCCCAAGAUGGACGUGUACUGCAAAGCGGUUCGACGCCUGGAAGAAAAGUUCGACGGCCUCGAACUUAACCACGUGUUAAGGAAGUAUAACGAGGCCGCCGACGCGCUCGCCAAGAUGGCAUCCGAGCGGGCCAUGGUCCCCCAGGAUGUUUUCGUCAGCGACCUCUACAAGCCUUUCGUCGACUACAAGGACGACGGGGGGUCGGACGAACCCCCAAGCAAACAGAGUUCCGACCCCAAAGACGCUGCCGCUCAAGAACAGGAGGCCAUGGACAUCGAGCCAGAGCCACCUGCACCUGACGACUCCCCCGACUGGCGCUACCCUUUGCUUCAACGCCUGGUUGACGGCGCUUUGCCCCUGGACCAGGCCGAAGCGAGGCGCGUGGCUCGUCGUGCCAAGACCUUUGUCCUCCUUGAUGGGGAGAUAUACAAGCGAAGCCCCUCGGGCGUCCUCAUGCGGUGCAUCCCACGUCAAGAGGGGGUCAAGCUCCUACAGGACAUUCACUCGGGGGCUUGUGGCCAUCACGCCGCGCCCCGGACGUUGGUAGGAAAUGCCUUCCGACAAGGCUUCUACUGGCCCACCGCCGUAGCCGACGCCACAGAGAUCGUCAGGGCCUGUAAGGGAUGCCAGUUUUACGCUCGCCAGAUACAUCUACCCGCUCAGGCCCUGCAAACGAUCCCCAUCACCUGGCCUUUCGCUGUCUGGGGCCUCGACCUGGUCGGGCCUCUGCAGAAAGCACCCGGGGGCUUCACCCACUUGCUUGUCGCAAUCGACAAGUUCUCCAAGUGGAUCGAAGUCCGACCCAUUGCAAGGAUAAAGGAUGAGCAAGCAGUGUUGUUCUUCACAGACAUCAUCCAUCGAUUUGGGGUACCGAACUCCAUAAUCACCGACAACGGCACACAGUUCACCGGACGAAAGUUCUUGCAGUUCUGCGACAGACACCACAUACGUGUGGACUGGGCGGCAGUGGCUCACCCCAAGACCAACGGUCAAGUGGAGCGUGCCAAUGGCAUGAUCCUCCACGGUUUGAAGCCCAGGAUUUUCAACCGUCUGAACAAGUUUGGAAAAAGGUGGCUCAAAGAGCUACCAGCCGUGGUCUGGAGUCUGAGAACCUCCCGAAGCCGAGCCACAGGCUUCACCCCGUUCUUCAUGGUCUACGGGUCGGAAGCCGUCCUCCCCACUGAUCUGGAAUACGGGUCCCCGAGGGUACAAGCCUACGACGAAAAUAGCGGUAAGACGUUCCAAGAAGACGCGCUGGACCAGCUGGAUGAAGCCAGGGAUGUAGCCCUCCUACACUCCGCCAAAUACCAGCAGACCCUCCGCCGAUACCACGCACGACGAAUCCGAGGCCGAGCCUUUCAAGUCGGCGACUUGGUGCUAAGGCUCAGACAGAGCAACAAGGGUCGUCACAAGCUCACACCCCCCUGGGAAGGACCUUUCGUCAUCACCGAGGUUCUCCGGCCCGGCACCUACAAGCUCGCCAAUGAAGCGAGAGAGGUCUUCAAAAACGCAUGGAACAUAGAACAACUACGUCGCUUUUACCCUUAGAACUUUUGUAAUAAUUUUUUGUUUGUUCAUCACCUUGGAAGAAUAAAUGAAAAUUUAAGUCAUAUGGCCCUUUUCUAUCAGGGAGCCUCGGACCUGCCCAGCAGAGUCCGAGCCUCCCACGGGGGCUACAUAGGGGGGAACCCCCCGUGUCAACUCCAAAUCUUUUUCCUUUUUUCGUGCAAGUCAAAAGAACUCCGAACCAAGGUCUUUCCCCUUUUCUCUUAGAAAGUUUUAAGAAAACUGGAAAUUCGCCCCACAAAUCUUAAGGCAUGAGCCCUAGGAAAGGCCAACGCUCACGAGCAAAAGACCGCUCCUACUCACCUUAGAUUCGGGGGACGGAUUCGGACUUCUAAAAACUACUAAGGGAAAAGGGAAAAGGACUUAGGCUUGGGGUUUCUGGCUAUCGCAAGUAGCUUACCCGACCUCGCGCUGCCGAGGUUGGAUCGGCAUAAGGAAAAAGAAAAUAAGACAUUUACGAAAAAAGCUUAAAGAGCAAUUACACAAAUAUCUACAUUCAACAUUAAACAUUGUAUAAUACAAGGCCUGCUGGCCUCAACACCCACAAAAAAAAGAAAACUAAGAAUCCUACUGCCCUGUCUGCCCAGGUCCUUGGGCCCCGAGGGGGGAAGCUCCGCCUCAUCGUCGAAGAAGGUGGCCAAGGCAUCUCCAGGGACAGUCGCGGCGUCGUCAAGCCUCUGCACCUCCUCCUGGGCCUCUGUUUCGUCAUCCGGGAGAACGUAGCCCUCACAGACUGCCGGCAAGUCAAUGCCGGCAUAGUGAGAGCUCACCACCACCAGGGCUUUCUUCACCCCGGUGUGGAGCGCCUCCCUCAUCCUCUCCCCGGCCCGGGAGUAAAGGGCUUCGACCCGACCGCGCAGCGACGACCCCGACACCGAUACCCCGAGCCCCUCACACGCCGAGGUGACCAUGCCUUCAAGAGCCGAGCGGUCUGAAGCCUCGGCGUCAAGGGACUUUUGCAGGGCCUCGGCAGUAGAGGUCGUCUCGACCACCUUCAUCUCCAAUUCUGAUUGAAAAAUACAACAAGAAACAAGGAGUCAGGAAAGACUAAUUCAAAAGUACAAAGGGGACCAAGGUAAAGGGCGCAAGUCUUACCCUCGGCACGCUUCUCGUGCUCCGCCGAGCUCUGAUGCCAGUGGGCCACCUGGCUCAGAGCCCCGGCUAGGUCGGUCUGAGCUUAGUUCAAGGCGAGGUCUUUUUCAGCGAGCAAAGCUUCAAGCCGAGCAACCUCACCCUUGUACCCCUCAGCCGCCGCCUUCUGCACCUCGGUUUCCUGGGCAAGGACCCCAAUCCUCUCCUCCAGGGGGCCGACCUUGUCCCGGGCCUCCCGAGCCUCGGAAGCCAGCGCCGAGCACUUCUGCCGAAGCUCGGCAGAAAUCUCGCACUCCUUCGCGAGCUCCCCCUCAGCCGCCUCCCUGGCGGCCCUCUCGUUCUCAAAGGACGCCCAAGCAUCCCUUUCCCGACGGAGAAAUACCGACUUCUCCUGAGAGGUGGCCUUGAGCGCCUACAAGAACAGAGGUCACACAGGGAGUUAAUAUCGCAAAAGUAAGGACAAAACUACUUCACAACACGGGUAAAAAUCUUACCUGAGCCAGAUUAAACAUGUCACGGCCCACGAGCUGAGAAGCUCGGUUCAGGGCCUCGACACCGGCGCGCCCACACGCGUCCAGACCCUGCCAGAGGUAGUUCUUUAACGGGUCAUCCAGAACGAAUCUGGCUCCGAUGCCGAGGUUGGGCCAGAUUACGGGGCUCUUACCCCAUCCGGCAUCUCCCUCUCCCGCUGCGGGGGCCUCGGGCGCCGCGCUGGACGCCACGAUGGCUCGGCCUUCCUCAGCAUGCGCAGGCCAGGCCGCACCUCCCAGGUCAGCAUCCUCCGGUCCUUGGGGCUUCGGCACCCCCGUGUCCUGCCUCUGGUGGCGCCCUCCCUCCUCGAAGCCCGACGGCGGCGGCGACGCGGGCCUAGCCGACCCAGGAGUCGACUGAGCCCCCCUCUUCACAGCCUUCAGGGGGGGCAAGUGCCACCGAAGGCGCCUUUUGCUUACGGCUGGGGGAAUAACUCUAGGUUAGAAGAAAGAGAAAAACAAAAAAUCAGCAGAGGGAUCAGAAAUCCUAUACAUACCUCGCUCGGGGAGCAGACUUCUUCUGGGAGCUCGGAGCUCCUUGGGGGCCUCCCGCAGCACCAGAGGCCGUCGGGCCGACCUCCGCCUCGCCCACCGACGGCGCAGGAGGUACCACGAUGGUCUCAGCCGGCGACGCCUCCACCGAGACGCCGUUUCCCGCCCCGGACGCUGGGGAGGGCUCGGCCAGAGCCUCUGGCACUACCGGUUGAGGUGGCGCCUCGAAUCCAACCCCCGACGCCUUCUCCCCCUCUUGAGGACCCACGGGGGCUGAACCCUCACCAGGGGCGCUGUCCUCGUCAUCCACGAUGAUGUGGAGGACGGCCUGUCCGCCCUCCGGCGCCUGGAUCCCCGCGGGAGCCUCCGACCCCCCUCGGGCCUCCGACCCCUCCGGGGCCUCGAUCCCCCCGCCGGCAGGAGGGAUCACGUCAUCCUCCUCCGCCAACUCGUCGAGCCAGUCGGCGUUGUCUCCUCCGCCCUCUAUCUCCGAGACUGAAGUCUCAGGAGACGGAGGCGGGGCGACCCCCGCCUUCUCGGCUUCACGGCGGUUCUUGGAGGCGAUCUCCUGCCUCUCCGCCUUUCGCGCCGCCUUGGCUUUCUUGUCUUCCUUGGCCUUCUUUUGCUCCUCGUUCCGGGCCCGAUUCUUGGCCCGGAUCUCUUUGUCCUCCGGGACAGGGGGCGGGGAAUCCUUGACGGCCCCGAUCCCCUGUGGGGCAAGCAGAUCAACAGGGAAUCAGGCGAAAGAAAAAACGGGAGCAAGAGAUCGAAAUAAAAGGACACCUUCUUACCAAGGAAAUGUAGCCCUUUUCAGGGCGCAUCGGGACCACCCGGGAAUUCUUCAUCUCCGGGUGCGUCGUCUUCUCGACCCGGGCGGUGAUGUACGAGGCCGAUAUCGGCUCGGCUAACAUCCUCGUCCCUGCCCGAGGGACGUCCCGGGUCAUCUCGAACAUGGGCACCCGGCGCUGCGCCAGCGGAAGCAGGCUCCUCUUAUGGAACGCUAUUGCCACCGUGGCCGCAGUGACUCGGGCCUCUCGCAGCUUCUGAAGCCCUGCAAGAAGCGGGGCGAGCUUCUUCUGCUCCUCUGACGGAGCGCCCCACACCCACUUCUGGGGGGCCUCCGUCACCAUCUUCCCGGUAUACUUCGGCAGAAGACCACCGUCGUUCCGGAGGUAGAACCACGAGCUCUGCCACCUCCGGUUUGACGACGGCAUCGAGCUCCAGAUGUACAAUCCGGACCGUUGCUGGCGAAGCUGCAGCGUGCAGCCGCCGGCUCGCAGGGGGAUCUUCUCUUUCCCCAUGUAACGGGCCGACAUGUCCGCCUUGAAGAGGUGAAGCCAGAGGUUCCAAUUGACAGGAACCCCCAGGAACCCCUCGCAAACCAUGGCGAAGACGGCGGCUUGCAUCACCGAGUUGGGAUUCAGGUUGUGUAGCUCCACCUCGUAGUAGUGGAGGAUAGCCCUGAUCAGGCGACCGGCUGGAAUCCCGAACCCCCGGUCUAAGAACGACAGGAAGCAAACCACAUAGCCCGGCGGCGGGUUUGGCUCCCUGUUGUUCGCCGAAGGAACGAUCCACUCCGGGAACCCGACAUCCUUGAGAGGACGGAGAAUCCCGGCCUUCACGCGCGCCUCCAGCGCGGACUUGGUCACGUUGUAGGGCGGCCACGCCUCAACGCCGGCCAUGGCUUUGGGAAGAAGAGGAGUGUCUGCGCGGCGGAAGUGGAGGAGACAGCGGCAGAAGAGAGGGCAGGAGGCAAGGGCUUUGUGGCGCGGGAGCGAGAGGAAAGAAAUCAAGCCCCCAGCAGCCGCUUUUAUAGAAGGGGCGAGCCACGACCACGCCCCUGCGAGGAAGGCCAAGCGGGAGAGAGAGCAACCGUCGCCCACUCAGGUGAAAAACUCGAAGCGCCAACUCCCUCCGAUUCCCGCGCCCGCCGCACGCGCGCAUUAAUUUCGCAGGCGAAACGUCCCAUCCAGCCUGGGCGAGACGGCACGGCCAUUUCGAGUCCCCACGCGCCGCGCCUCAAAAGGAGCGCCCUGAAAAGUUAUGUCAGGACGGUUCCUUCCAGGGGACGCGGCGCCCGACCCCCAGCGGACUAAGCGUCGCAGGGAGGUCUCCGUCGGACGCAGGAUUCCGUCUCGCCCGACCCCAUCAAGACCCCGAGCUAAAAUUGCGAGGCGGUUUCCCAUCGGGCGCGGAUUCUGUCUCGCCCGACCCCGACACUACAGAACGAGUCUGAAGAAAGCCUUUCGAGGCCCAAAAUCCCCAGGCCAUGGCCACCUACGUUCCAGAGGUUGCGAGACUGACAUGCGACACAGGUUCGAACAGUCGCCUCAGGAUAACUGAGCGAGGGAUGACUGAAGAUGAGCACAAUAGAGGCCAAGGUCCGAACCCUGCAGGGAGUCGGCGCAUCUUUACAAGUCAUAUCCGAGACCCAUGCGGGUGUCACGUGAGUGGGAUCCCAUCGAGGGAGGCAUCGAGCCCUCGGAACCUAACGAAUGGUUCCGACAUCCACCGUGACUGCCCUCGGGUACUUUUUGAGAUGUGCCCAUAAGGCCACUAGCCGACCCCAAUCGAACGGGACUCGGACAUCCACUUGGAUCUACCCGCAUGCAGCUCCCGGGAAGCGUCGUCACUCGCCCAUCGAGGGUAGUACGGCACGACCCACCCCUCCUCCGAGCGAAAGGAAGAAUGAGGGACGUAAUUACAAGACGAGAAAGAACCUGAUCGACCCUUGCGGGGAAAGGGCUCGGGGGCUUCCUCGCACCGUGGGAACAGGCACUACGUGUAAAGAACACGCAACCUAUCCCUUAAAACACUCCAGACUAUAGCUGUCAAGGGGUGAAAGCCUUUGAAGGAAUAACACCAUUCCUCCAAAAGGCUCGGGGGCUACACCCGGCGGGUGCGCUCGCGCGCACCCCCCGGAGAAAAGUGAAAGGCUCCUAGUCAACUACAGUCCCUGGGGAAAGAACCUCUAAAGAGGUGACCUCACCCCUUCAGAGGCUCGGGGGCUACUGUUGGGUACCAUAAUAAGGGAUACCCAAAUCAGAGCAAUAAAAAGCGCAAAAAAGCAUACUAACCACAAUCAUCAGGGUACGGGCCCCAGUUCAUUCGACUCGCCCGACCCCUCAGGGCCUCGGACGCGAGUCCCGACUCGCCCGACCCCUCAGGGCCUCGGACGCAAGUUCCGACUCGCCCGACCCCUCAGGGCCUCGGACGCGAGUCUCGACUCGCCCGACCCCUCAGGGCCUCAAACGCAAGUUCCGACUCGCCCGACCCCUCAGGGCCUCGGACGCGAGUCCCGACUCGCCCGACCCCUCAGGGCCUCGAACGCAAGUUCCGACUCGCCCGACCCCGUCCAGGCUCGGGCGCCGGACCCCACUCCGCCUGGGCAGCAAGACUUCCACCGCACGGCGCCCGUACCCACGACAUGACGGACGCGAUGGCUUCCAUACCGCAGCAGGGCAAGGCGACAACUAUUCCAACCACCCUGGGCACUGCAGCAUCACCUUUUUCACUGUGUGCCCUUACCUCUUUCACUGUGGCGUAUCGCCUCACAGUGGAAAGGGAAUGGGGGAGGUUAAUCAGCACCACUAUUUGACACCUCUUCCCACUAUUGACGUGAUACGCAGCAGCGCCGGCGACCCGACCCCCAUGACUCCUACAGGGCUCGGUAAACCGCAACAGGAGCGACCAUCCCUCCAGGACAAGACGAACAGGCUUCAACAGGGUCGGAGCUGUAACUCUCCCACUGAGGGAAAUCUACCCAUGUAAAUCCCAGUCUCCCCUUGAGGCUAUAAAAGGGGAGCCAAGGCUCAAAAGAAGGAACACACUCACACGCACAACACUCUUUCACAGAGCAGCAAUCCGCACUCUGUCCACCACCAAGCCGAGACCUGGGACUUAGCCCUCUCUCGCAACCUGCUUGUACCCACUACUACAAGCACCUUUGGGUGCAAGGUUAUACAGGACCCCCGGUCGCACUGGACGUAGGGCAUUCUUGGCCCGAACCAGUAUAAACCCUCUGUGUCUCACUUGCAUCACCAUCCAAGCUUGGUCAGUCACGCAGACUUAUACUUGUUAGUGCCUAGACCACGAAUCUAGACGCCGACACAUGGGCAUACCCUGCUCCUAAUUCCUGGGUCCGCCACUGGGUAUGGCACUGGUUGAUCAGUUCCCAACCUACAUGCAUGGCUAAUUGUAUAGUAGUAGUUUUCAGAUCUAAUUUUCUUAUAAAUUAGACUAAUUCGUUUUUCUUGUAAUAAUAAUACAGUUCUUCCCGUCCUUUCCAAAAAAAAAAUGCACAAGAUGACACAAAACAACACAUGACUUACGAAAAUGUUCUCUUUUUUUUUAUAAAUUGGGUACAACUACAUUACUCUUGGGCUGACAAUCGUCAGCGACAAUUACAUUACAUGUUCACGGGGGGAGCUUAUAAUUUGCUCGAGCCUGCCCACACAUUCAUACCCACUAGCAGCUAAUCCAUGAACCGCUCUAUUACAAUCUCUAGGAACAUAUAACACAUUGGAAGCUACUAAAGUUCACGCGCGCCAGAAAUUUUAACUCGCAGUCAGCCCCAUCUGAAGAGCUGGCAAGGUUCUCAUCUAGAUAGGUAACAGACUUCAUAAAUACAAGACACAAUACUUGACACAAAUAAUAGGAUUUGGAUCUAACAUAGUUCUAACUCAGUCUUUAGAGCUGAACACAUUAUUACAAAAGAAGGCUUGUUCUGACUGUUCAAAAACCUGAUGUUUCCGCUUUUUGGCUCUGCAAUGGCAUAAAUUGUUCAUACAAUCGACUACACACAAAAAGACGGCUCGGAUAAAGAAUUGAUGAUUUGCUACAAAGCAAUUUCUUCCAAGACAGUCGGAUAAAGAGUCGAUGAUUCGCCAUAGAGAAAUUCCGCCUCAAUGACAAUUGAAUUGCCUUAUUAAUUCAGAGACCGAGAAGCCGAUGAUCACUUCUCUUUGUAGACAAAGAACGCGACGAAGCCUCCUGCAAUGGUCGCAAAGGCCAUCAGCCAAACGACCACGGCCAUGGGCGCUGGCAUGAUGGCGGCAACUUUGUAGGAGAAGCUGAACGUCAGCAGAGUAGUCAGUAUCCAUACAGCGAUCUUGAGCCACUCCCUCUUGGACGACCCAGCACGGGCACGCUCGUACAUCCUCAGGCAGACAAAAAGCGCGACGAGGAUGGCAUAGGCAAAACCGACGAAGGCGAUGGCCAUCACAUCGCCUUGGGAUCGGAUGAUGGCCAUUGCCGCGUUGAAGCUGAGGAUGAGGAAACCCAAAACGGUCGGCCAGGGGAAGCAGCUGUUAUCACCAUUGUUCUCCGGUUGGGGGUGGUGGUUGGCCUCCUGAUCGACCAGGAGACGCUCAUCCACCGCGGCGGCAUUCACUGGCUGACCGGCCAUGGCUGCUUGGGGCGCCGUCAUGACUGGAGGUGAGGGCUCUUCGUCGAGCUAGGAAAGUGGGUUUUGUGGGUGGAAACAGAAUGUAGCAGGAAAGCUUGGGUUGUAGGAGAGAAAAAGCUUUCACAAUCUCAAGCUAAAGCAAACGAGAACAUCUUCACGGCGCAACUCUGAACUAGAACAGACUGCAACAUAAUAAUCUGCUUCUUACCAGCUUGAAGGCCACGCUUGUUUCA